rnacentral:rRNA from 1 species
UAGGUAUUUUGAAUUUAUUUCAGGAAUAAGCACCGGCUAAUUACGUGCCAGCAGCCGCGGUAAUACGUAAGGUGCAAGCGUUAGUCGGUAUUAUUAGGCGUAAAGCGUGUGUAGGCUGAUUUAUUGUGAAAUUUGUUAAAUUUUAAGGCUCAACCUUAAUGUGCAUUUUUUACUAAUAUUCUUGAAUUUAUGUAGAGUUAACGGAACUCUACAAGUAACAGUGAAAUGUGUAAAUAUGUAGAGGAACACCGAUAGCGAAGGCAGUUAACUUACUUUUUUUUGACGCUGAUACACUAAAGCGUGGGUAGCAAACAGGAUUAGAUACCCUGGUAGUCCACGCCCUAAACGAUGUCAACUAAUUAAUAAAGCUAACGCGUUAAGUUGACCGCCUGGGGACUACGAUCGCAAGAUUAAAACUCAAAGGAAUUGACGGGGACCUGCACAAGCGGUGGAUGAUGUGGAUUAAUUCGAUGCAACGCGAAGAACCUUACCUACUCUUGACAUGUAUAGAAUCUUCUUGAGAAAGUUGAGUGCCUAUAACACAGGUGCUGCAUGGCUGUCGUCAGCUCGUGUCGUGAGAUGUUGGGUUAAGUCCUAUAACGAGCGAAACCCUUUCCUCAUAUUACUAAAGCACAUUUGAGGUACUGCCAAUGAUAAAUUGGAGGAAGGAGAGGAUGACGUCAAGUCCUCAUGGCCCUUAUGAGUAGGGCUUCACACGUCAUACAAUGGUUAGUACAAUUAGAUACGAUUUCGUGAGGAUGAGUAAAUCUUUAAAUCUAAUCUUAGUUCGGAUUGUACCCUGAAACUCGGGUACAUGAAGCAGGAAUCGC